GGGGUUCGUUCUGGCUUUUGGUUGUUUGCCUGGUGUUUGUGCCAAGCGGGUGGUCGUUAGCGGGAUGUUCUUCGGGGAUGUCAACCGUGAAGGUGCAUGAGUGGUGUUUGGUUUGUUACGGGUGGUUGGAUGUCUGUUUGCGCAGCAACUUCCAUGCGUUCAUACCUCUUCAGUUGUGCUACAAGGCUUUUAUCUGUCUUGUGCAUCCCGGUUGGUUUCUGUGUUGCAUACCUAAUGAAGGGCAUCGUAAGGCUAGAUCAAUGUUCAUUUUCGUAAUGCGUCGCUUGCGGCAUUGAACGAACCUCGAAGCGGUCUUUAUGGUCCAUUCUGUUGUUGUGUAUGCAAUGAUGGCAUGGCCCUUGGAGCAUCGUUUGGUCUCUUGGAUAUAGAACCUGAUGUGGGCUGUAGGUUCUUUAAUGAUCCUAUAUUUGCCCUCGUUUAGCGUUCUCGCUUCUCUAAACGACCGUCUAUCAUGUGUCGGCAUGUUCGUGCAUGGUGGGCUGUGUCGAAGAGGAAUGC
rnacentral:misc_RNA from 1 species